CAUGAUGGACUAUAGGACAGGACUGCUGCUUUUUACUAUGUGCUGGGCAGGUGUUGAUGGUCAGACUCUGACUCAAUCUGAACCAGUGAUUAAAAGGCCUGGAGAAUCUCACAGACUGACCUGUACAGCCUCUGGAUUCACAUUCAGUGACUACUGGAUGGCUUGGAUCAGACAGGCUCCUGGAAAAGGACUGGAGUGGAUCGUUUAUAUCACUAGUGACAGUAGUGGCAAAUCCUACUCUCAGUCAGUUCAAGGCCAGUUCACCAUCUCCAGAGACAACAGCAGAUAG